GUAUAUAGUAAAGGUAUAAAUUAGUGAGCAUCAAUUCAUACUACAUGUAGUUUUUGUCUGGACUUCUUGAUUAAAUUAUUUAUAUAUACAAUUUUAGCUUGUAACCAAAUGAAAGGAAAGUACAGUAUUGACAAUGAUUGAUAUCACUGGUGAACAUGUAUGUCAUGUAGGUGUGAAUGUCCUGCAAAAAAGAACUGAUAUCAAAUUACCAUUCACAGUGAACAUGGUGAAGAAUAACCAAUACCAUGAAUACAGGACAUAGAAGACUACCUCACAAAUAUGGGAAUUUUACAAAAAAUACAACAUUUAAAUUUACAAAGAAGACAUUUAUUUUGACAUUCAUGGACUUUGAAAGUAAAGAAAUUAGAAUGUGAAUAAAAAUCCUUGGAAAUAAAAUUUUGAACUUUGAA